CCCGCCAUGAUGACAAUGGACUGAACCUCUGAACUGUGAGCCAGCCCCAGUGAAACGUCUCCUUCAUAAGAACUGCUGUGUUCAUGGUGUCUCUUCACGGCAAUAGAAUAUUGACUAACAAAAUGAAUGCAGUCGAGGUGUGGGAUGAACAGAAGUGUCUCUCUCGCUCUUGGGCCAGUCAAUCGGUCCGAGUCCAGAGCUCAGCAUCCCACUUUGGAGAAACGUAAGCGUGAC
rnacentral:lncRNA from 1 species